rnacentral:rRNA from 1 species
CGGGGUAGAGUAACGCGUGAGGAACCUGCCUCAAAGAGGGGGACAACAGUUGGAAACGACUGCUAAUACCGCAUAAGCCCACGGCUCGGCAUCGAGCAGAGGGAAAAGGAGUGAUCCGCUUUGAGAUGGCCUCGCGUCCGAUUAGCUAGUUGGUGAGGUAACGGCCCACCAAGGCAACGAUCGGUAGCCGGACUGAGAGGUUGAACGGCCACAUUGGGACUGAGACACGGCCCAG